rnacentral:rRNA from 1 species
GAUGAACGCUGGCGGCGUGCUUAACACAUGCAAGUCGAACGGAAGGGCUCCUGCUUGCAGGGGUACUCGAGUGGCGAACGGGUGAGUAACACGUGGGUGAUCUGCCCUGCACUUCGGGAUAAGCCUGGGAAACUGGGUCUAAUACCGGAUAGGACGAUGGUUUGGAUGCCAUUGUGGAAAGUUUUUCGGUGUGGGAUGAGCUCGCGGCUUAUCAGCUUGUUGGUGGGGUAAUGGCCUACCAAGGCGUCGACGGGUAGCCGGCCUGAGAGGGUGUACGGCCACAUUGGGACUGAGAUACGGCCCAGACUCCUACGGGAGGCAGCAGUGGGGAAUAUUGCACAAUGGGCGCAAGCCUGAUGCAGCGACGCCGCGUGGGGGAUGACGGCCUUCGGGUUGUAAACUCCUUUCGCUAGGGACGAAGCGCAAGUGACGGUACCUGGAGAAGAAGCACCGGCUAACUACGUG